GACGAACGCUGGCGGCGUGCUUAACACAUGCAAGUCGAACGGACAGACAGAGAGCUUGCUCUCUUGAAGUUAGUGGCGAACGGGUGAGUAACGCGUAAUCAACCUGCCCUUCAGAGGGGGAUAACAACGGGAAACCGUUGCUAAUACCGCGUACGAUUCAUGAACGGCAUCGUUUAUGAAUGAAAGGUGGCCUCUAUGUAUAAGCUAUCGCUGAAGGAGGGGAUUGCGUCUGAUUAGCUAGUUGGAGGGGUAACGGCCCACGAAGGCAAUGAUCAGUAGCCGGUCUGAGAGGAUGAACAGCCCCAUUAGGACUGAGACACGGCCCAAACUCCUACGGGAGGCAGCAGUGGGGAAUCUUCCGCAAUGGACGAAAGUCUGACGGAGCAACGCCGCGUGAGUGAUGAAGGUCUUCGGAUUGUAAAGCUCUGUUAAUCGGGACGAAAGAGUUCUGCGUGAAUAAUGCAGAAAAGUGACGGUACCGGAAUAGAAAGCCACGGCUAACUACGUGCCAGCCGCCGCAGUAA
rnacentral:rRNA from 1 species